CUUAACAUCCUGCAAGAGAUCUCUAAAUAUCGACCACAUGUACAUAGUACAUUUCCCUUCAAAAGCAUCAUCCCAAUUCACAGCCGCAAGUCUGAGAAUGUCUCAGACUUAUUUAUUUAAAGAACUGGCGUAAAACUGGCAGAAAGUUGGGAAGCAACUGUAAGAAUUGCCUUGCAUCAUAUUUUAUAUUCCAUUGUGUCACGGAGUCUUCUGAAAGGAGAAAUGGUUAAACAUAACUUCAUGCUAUCUUUGCUCACAGCUGCAGGUGGGCGACGACUGUCCAACCGGUUGAACACGAUUUCAGCAGAAAGCCCGCACCCUGUUCUGAGAAAUGCGUAUGGGGUGGAACCUGGCCAACAUACAGGGCCGCAGCUUGCACAGAGACAAGGAGCUCUGAGUUUCACAGAAACGCAACAGCUUUCCCACCACAGUCGGAAGGCUCACUGGUCUAUACUUACCUGGACUAUCCCUACUAACUUUUUUGAACAAGGGGACAACAUUUGCCUCCCUCCAAUCCUCCGGGACCAUUCCCGUGGACAACGAGGAAAUAAAGAUCCUAGCCAGAGGCUCAGCAUUCUCAUCCCUCGCCUCGUGGAGCAGCCUGGGGAAUAUUCUGUCAGGCUCCGGGGACUAAUCCGUCCUAAUGUAUUUUAACAACUCCAACACCUCCUGUCCCUGAAUAUCAACAUGCUCCAGAACAUCAACCUCACUCAUAUUGUCCUCAUCCUCAUCAAGUUCCCUCUCAGUGGUGAAUACCGAAGAGAAGUAUUCAUUGAGGACCUCGCUUACUUCCACAGCCUCCAGGCACAUCUUCCCACUUUUAUUUCUAAUCGUCCCUACCUUCACCUCUGUCAUCCUUUUGUUCUUCACAUAAUUGAAGAAUGCCUCGGGGUUUUCCUUUACCCUACUCGCCAAGGCCUUCUCAUGCCCCCUUCUUGCUCUCCUCAGCACCUUCGUAAGCUCAUUUCUUGUACCCUAUAUUCCUCAAAAGACCCAUCUGAUCAUUGCGUCCUAAAACGUAUGCUGCCUUCGCCCACCUGACUAGAUUUUUCACUUCAUUUGUUCCUUCAUGGUUCCUUCACCCGAACAUUCUUUAUCUUCCUCACCGGGACAAAUUUAUCCCUAACAUUCUGCAAGAGAUCCUUAAACAUCGAACACAUGUCCAUAGUACUUUUCCCUGCAAAAACAUCAUCCCAAUUCACACCCGCAAGUUUGUCGCUGGACAGUGGAAGCGGUGCACCGCGUUCUGGCCAAUGUCAGCUGCAGACAACUUAGAGCCGCGGGUAAAAGCUGAGUGUCGGGUGUGAUGAGACCUUGAAGCGCAGGUGUAACACCCCAAUACAUCCGAAUAAAACAAGAGCCUUAUAACCUUCAGCCGGUCUUACCCGUAGCCCUCUAUUUUUUCUAAGCUCCAUUUACAGACCCAAAAGUCUCUGAAAAGACACAGAGAUGUGUCACCACCACCGCCACCUGCAGCCCAUUUCACGCACUCCCCAAUCUCUGAGUAAAAAACUUACCCCUGACAGCUCCGUUGUACCUACUCUCCAGCACCUUAAACCAGUCCUCGUGUGGCAGCCAUUUCAGCCCUGGAAAAAAGCCUCUGACUAUCCACACGAUCAAUGUCUCUCAUCAUCUUAUACACUCCUAUCAAGUCACCACUCAUCCUCCAUCACUCCAAGGAGUAAAAGCCAAGUUCACUCAACCUACUCUCAUAAUGUAUGUAUCCAAGAUCCCAGCUCAUCACCUUUGUUCCUGAUGCUUCUUGCAUUGAAUUACACACACUUUACACCUUCUACCUUACUAACUUUAUACCCUUUAUUCUGCUUCUCUUUGCUCAAAGCCUCUCUAUAUGUUAGAUCUGACUUUACACCGUGCACUAUACUUGCAGUACUCGCAAGAACUUUAUCCUCCUCCACCUCACUAUCUGCUCUGACACUCUGGUUCUCCUCCCCCUGCAAAUCUAGCUCAAGCCCGCUCCUGUGCCUCCUAAACUUUUCCACUAUGCUUCUAGCAUCGAACUAUCCGCAGCCCAGUCGAACAUCAGUCGAACUGUGCUCAACCAUUUGACAAAGGGCUAAACAACAUCUAGCUGCGACAGCUCUCCAGUAUCAGUUCUGGCUCUCCGAAUAUCAACCCCCUUCCACUCCGGUUUAAACCCCAAACCCCAUCCCGUACACCACAAGCAAACGUUCCCACUAGGGUAUUAGACCCCUUCCAGUUCAUCGCAAACCAUCCUGUCUACUCAGCUCUCAAAUUGCCAGGGGCAGGGUCCCGUCACCGUUCGCUCUCACUCUCACUAUCAGAAGAAAGGACACUGAAUGACCGUGGUGUUUAGAAGGGAGAAUGUCUCCGACUGAUUUAUUUGAAGAAAUGGUGUAAGACUCGCAGAAAGUUAGGAAGCAACUGUGGGCGGCGACUCUCCAACCGGUUGAACACGAUUUCAGCAGAAAGGCCGCACCCUGUUCUGAGAAAUGCGUACGUGGGGGAACCUGGGCAACAUUCAGGGCCGCAGCUUGCACAGAGACAAGGAGCUCUGAGUUUCACAGAAACGCAACCGGCGACGUCCUGCACUUAGGAAGAUCUUCUGAUUCGGAAACCCAGAGCAACACACACAAAACUCUGAAGAAACACAGAACAGCACAAAACAGUAAACAGUCGACAUUUCGGGCCGAGACCUUUCAUCAGGAAUUAACUUAUUCCUAACCCACAACUCCUAAAGCAGCCAAAUAUUGCUCAGCUCAUUGUUUGAAAUGAAGGGCGAAGGCCAUUUCUUGGAAAUAUUCCCAAAAGGAAAUCGAAUAUUGUUACCAUAUUUUUCUGGAUUUUCAUUUCCAACCAGACUAUUGUCUGCAGUUUGUAUCAGUGAUCAAGAAUUCAUUAGAUCAGUUAUGAACUUCUUCUCGCCAUGCUGGUGUUUGAAUCACUGAGGUCUCAAAUUGCCAGGGGCAGGAUCCCCUCACCGGUCGCUCUCACUCUCUCUAUAAGAAGAAAGGACUCCGAAUGACCAUGGUGUUUAGAAGGGAGAAUGUCUCCGACCGAUUUAUUUGAAGAAAUGGCGUAGGACUCGCAGAAAUUUGGGAAGCAACUGUAAGAGUUGCCUUGCAUCAUAUUUUAUAUUCCAUUGUGUCAUGGAGUCUUCUAAAAACAGAAAUGGUUAAACAUAACGUCAUGCUAUCUUUGCUCACAUCUGCAGGUGGGCAGCGACUGUCCAACCAGUUGAACCUGAUUUCAGCAGAAAGGCCUCACCCUGUUCUGAGAAAUGCGUACGUGGGGGAACCUGGCCAACAUACAGGGCCGCAGCUUGCACAGAGACAAGGAGCUCUGAGUUUCACAGAAACGCACCCGGCGACGACCUGCACUUAGGGAGAUCUUCUGAUUCGGAAACCCAGAGCAACAAACACAAAACUCUGAAGAAACACAGAACAGCCCAACCAGUAAACAGUCGACAUUUCGGGCCGAGGCCUUUCUUCAGGAAUUAACCUUAUCCCUAACCCACAACUCCUAAACCAGCCAAAUAUUGUUCAGCUCAUUGUUUGAAAUGAAGGGCGAAGGCCAUUACUUGGACAUAUUCCCACAAGGAUAUCGAACAUUGUUAAUAUUUUUCCGGCUUUUCAUUUCCAACCAGACUAUAGCCUGCGGGUUGUAUCAGUGAUCAAGAAUUCUUUAGCUUUUUGAUAAACUUCUUCUCGCCAUGCUGGUGUUUGUAUCCCUGAGGUUGUGUUCACAUGCUGGGAUUUUUCCACACCUUAUAUCAAGUUUAAGAACUGUUCCAGAAUCAGCAAUAAACGUUUCAUGCGACGGCUGUACAGCCCGAUCCUGCACGAUUUUCAAAAUACGUUACUUCAGGUGGGCGGCGACUCUCCAACCAGUUGAACCUGAUUUCAGCUGAAAGGCCGCACCCUGUUCUGAGAAAUGCGUACGUGGGGGAACUUGGCCAAAAUUCAGGGCCGCAGCUUGCACAGAGACAAGGAGCUCUGAGUUUCACAGAAACGCAACCGGCGAUGUCCGGCACUCAGGAAGAUCUUCUGAUUCGGAAACCCAGAGCAACACUCACAAAACUCUGAAGAAACACAGAACAGCACAAAACAGUAAACAGUCGACAUUUUGGGCCGAGACCUUUCAUCAGGAAUUAACCUCAUACCUAACCCACAACUGCUAAAACAGCCAAAUAUUGCUCAGCUCAUUGUUUGAAAUGAAGGGCGAAGGCCAUUUCUUGGAAAUAUUCCCACAAGGAAAUCGAAUAUUGUUCCCAUAUUUUUCUACAUUUUCAUUUCCAACCAGACUAUUGUCUGCAGUUUGUAUCAGUGAUCAGGAAUUCAUUAGAUCAGUUAUGAACUUCUUCUCGCCAUGCUGGUGUUUGAAUCACUGAGGUUGUGUUUACAUGCUGGGAUUUUUCCACACCUUAUAUCAAGAUUAAGAACUGUUCCCUAACAGCAAAUAACGUUUCAUGCGGGCGCUGUACAGCCCUAUUCUGCACGAUUUUCAAAAUACCUUUCUUCAGGUGAAUACAUCGAUAUAUAUCUGUAUCAUUUAUUCUGUUCGGGUAGUUUGUAAUUGUUUGUGUCCCAUCUCGGCGGCCGGUGGAAGUAAAGAUUUUUUUGAUUAUACUGAAGGUCUGGGUGCUUGAUAUACACCGGGGUGGAAAGCUAUAAAACCCAAAGAUGUAGUCGCAGAAUGAGGCUGUUUGGUCCAUUGAGUCUGCUCAGCCAGAUCAUCAUGGCUGAUUCAACGUUUUAUCUGUGGCCCAAACUCCUCCCUACUGCUCCCAUCCCGUCAGUAAAUUAGGAUUACUAAGUACUGGUACUCAGAUAGGUGGCGUUGUGGAUAAUGAAGUAGGUUUACAAAGCUUGCAGAGAGACUUAGGCCAGUUAGACGAGUGGGCUAAAAGAUGACAGAUGGAGUUUAAUGCUGAUAGGGUGAGAUGCUGCAUUUUGAUAUGUAUUAUCCAAAUAGGACAUAUGUGAUAAAUGGUAGGGCAUGAAGGAAUAAUGUAGAACAGAGUGAUCUAGGAAUAAUAGGGCACAGUUCCCUGAAGGUAGAAACUCAUGUGGAUAGGGUGGUGACGAAAGCUUUUGGUAUGCUGGCCAUAUAAAUCACAGCACUGAGUAUAGGAAUUGGGAUGUAAUGUUAAAAUUGUACAAGGCAUUGGUGUAAGUUGGAAUUUGAAGUAAGUUAGGUCUUUAUUCUUUGGCGUGUAGAAGGUUGAUGGGGUAUUGAUAAAGGUAUUUAAAAUUAUGGGGGUAUAGAUAGAGUUGACGUGGAUAGGCUUUUUUCACUGAGAAUCGGGGAGAUUCAAAGAAGACGACAUCAGUUGAGAAUUAAGGGCCAAAGUUUAGGGGUAACACGAGGGUCAACAUCCUUACUCAGAGGGUGGUAACUGUGUGUAACGAGCUUCCAGUAGAAGAGUUAGAAGCAGGUUCUAUAUUGUCACUUGAAGUAAAAUUGGAUAGGUAUAUGGAGAGGAAAGGAAUGGAAGAUUAUUGGCUGAAUGCCGUUCGGUGGGAAUAGGUGAGAGUACGCUUUACGCACAGACUGGAAGGCCCGAGAUGGCCUGUUUGCGUGCUGUAAUUGCUAUCUGGAUAUAUGUUUAAAUAAGUAUUCAUUGAGGGCCUCGCUCACUUCCACAGCCUCCAAGCAGAUCUUCCCAGCUUUAUCUCUUAUCAUUCCUAUCUUCACUCCUGUCAACCUUUGGUUCUUCAUAUAAUUGAAGAAUGCCUUGGGGUUUAUCUUUACCCUACUCGCCAAGGCCUUCCCCUGCCCCGUAUUCCUCUCCUCAGCUCCUUCUUCAGCUCCUUUCCAGCUACCCUAUAUUCCUCAAUAGAGUAAUCUGAUCCUUGCUUCCUAAACCUCACGUAUGCUGCCUUCUUCCAUCUGAGUAGAUUCUCCACCUCAAUUGUCACCUGUGGUUCCUUCACCCUACCAUUCUUUAGCUUCCUCACUGGGACAAAUUUAUCCUUAACAUCUUGCAAGAGAUCUCUAAACAUCGACCACAUAUCCAUGGUAAAUUUCCCUUCAAAAGCAUCAUCCCAAUUCACAGCCGCAAGUCUGAGAAUGUCUCAGACUGAUUUAUUUAAAGAACUAGCGUAUAACUGGCAGGAAGUUGGGAAGCAACUGUAAGAAUUGCCUUGCAUCAUAUUUUAUAUUCCAUUGUGUCACGGAGUCUGCUGAAAACAAAAAUGGUUAAACAUAACAUCAUGCUAUCUUGGCUCACAUCUGCAUGUGGGCGGCGACUGUCCAACCGGUUGAACUUGAUUUCAGCUGAAAGGCCGCACCCUGUUCUGAGAAAUGCGUACGUGUGGGAACCUGGCCAACAUUCCGGGCCGCAGCUUGCACAGAGACAAGGAGCUCUGAGUUUCACAGAAACGCACCCGGCGACGUCCUGCACUUAGGAAGAUCUUCUGAUUCGGAAACCCCGAGCAACACUCACAAAACUCUGAAGAAACACAGAACAGCACAAAACAGUAAACAGUCGACAUUUUGGUCCGAGACCUUUCAUCAGGAAUUAACCUUAUUCCUAACCAUAAACCAGCCAAAUAUUCCUCGGCUCAUUGUUUGAAAUGAAGGGCGAAGGCCAUUACUUGGAAAUAUUCCCACAAGGAAAUCGAACAUUGUUAAUAUUUUUCCGGUUUUUCAUUUCCAACCAGACUAUAGCCUGCGGGUUGGAUCAGUGAUCAAGAAUUCAUUAGCUCAGUGAUAAACUUCUCGCCAUGCUAGUGUUUGUAUCCCUGAGGUUGUGUUCACAUGCUGGGAUUUUUCCACACCUUAUCACAAGUUUAAGAACUGUUCCAGAAUCAGAAAUAAACGUUUCAUGCGACGGCUGUGCAGCCCAAUCCUGCACGAUUUUCAAAAUAAGUUACUUCAAGUGUAU